ACCGAGCUGAUAAAAAAGACGUGACUGAAAAGUUGCAAGGACUGCGGCCGAUAAAAGCUCGAUCGUACCUUUUAUGUAACAUCGAAAUCAAUAUCUCAUUUGUUCCGGCGUCUUUCUUUUCGUAGCUCAAACGACUUCUGCUUCCAAGAAGAAACUUUAGCCGAUUUGUAACGAUUCCCCGCUUGGAAGAAUUUGCCAUCGUCACGUGAAACGCGUGCAGAACUAAUGAUGCACUGUGAUAUGUCCUCCUAUUAUGUAUGUAGCUGGUCUUUCCGUUGAUCACUGCAUUGCGCAGCAACGCAUGCAGUUCGCGUGCGCCGAUUCAGAAGGAGAACUUACGAUAAGAAGUAAAGAAUUUUCAUAGAUCGAUUGUAAAUCUACUGGUUCAAUAAGAAAGUAGGCCGUUAAAUUAGCAUGUAUUUUGUCAUCUUAUAUAUUACUAUAAUUUCUUAAUAGUUGCGCAAACGUAGCUUCGUAUAUACGAAAUUCUAUGCAUUCUAUAGAUUGAUCAUCGACAAUCGUUUCAGGAUAAACGAAUAUUGAGAUGAGAUCAGUGGUGAUUGAAAGGGAGCGCGAAAAAUUGGACUCACCGUGAUGGAUAGUCGACAGCAGAACCACGAGGACGAGGGUGACAAUCGGCGCGAGACGGUUUGCAAUCAUGAUCACGAUCACCGGACCAUGUGUUUCAGGCUAAUCACGUUGCAGUCAGUCACUUCGGACGUGUUGCCUCCACCCUCGCUGCAUGGAAAGUUCGCACGCGGCAGGUCUGAUUAUAAUUGUGUUAAUAUUUAUAUAAAUUUUCUGUAACUUGUAGAGCCUUCUCGAAAAACGAACAGUGUUUGAAAGAUAUCGAGGACGAGUGAGAAGAAUUUAUUAGAUGGCAGUGUUCGAUAGACAGGUCCUGUCUGUGAUGUCUCUUUCUCCGUUCUCACGUCCGAAA